rnacentral:rRNA from 1 species
AUGAACUAUUGUAUUCAUGAUGUAGCUUGUGGCGAGUGUAAGCCUUUAUCUUGUAUUCUCACCUAUUCAGUACAUGGUAUGUGUAAUAAUAUCCACCUUGCUAUGCGCUCGAAAUGCGGUUGUGCCUCAAUCAUGAAUUCAUCACGUGAUUGGGAUAGAAUCGCAUCUUGGGUGUUACACCUGAGCACAGAUGCCGUGCCAGUCCUUAAUCAUGAGGCGGUCGUGGGUCGGCUCACAAGGGCAUACGACCUUCAUGGCGAUGAAGCACCGGGCAAACAGACGAUAAUCAUAAAGCAACUCAUGGAGUAA